CCGAGCCUGAAAGGGCGAGGGAAAACCGGACGAGCAACCUCUCGUACCUGAUCUUGAAGACUUCCACUGCGUGUCCCUCUGUACAGCUUUGCAGGCUCCGGCCUCGGCAGCGGGGGGUUCAUAGUGGUCGUCGACCUCCACGAAACUGCACGCUCCGGCGUGACAGCGUACUGGGGAUGCCUGUGUUUACGCAGUCCGGGCUUGCCUGGACCGCCAGCAGAUGGGCUCUGUGGAUGACUGGCCGCUGGCUAGACCUGAAACCUGAGCAACGGGAGGUAACCUCUCGCCGCGGACACCGGAAUGGUAGAAGCGGCGUGCUGCGUCCUCCUCUUGGGGCCCCUAAGCCACACCUCCCACAGCGGGUUCGGUGCGGCGGACGGACGCCCUGGGGAAUUUAGAGGGGGAAAGCGGAUUGCCCUAGCGGUGUUGUUGGCCCUGCCGACCUCACUGCGAAAGGCGCGAC
rnacentral:misc_RNA from 1 species